rnacentral:ncRNA from 1 species
AUUACUUAAUAUACACAUGCAAGUAUCCGCCCCCCUGUGAAAACGCCCUACCCCCCCCCCCGGAACAAGGAGCUGGUAUCAGGCACGAAAAUCUGCCCAAAACACCUAGCUAUGCCACGCCCACAAGGGAACUCAGCAGUGAUUAACAUUGAGCAUUAGCGUAAGCUUGACUCAGUUAAAGUAAGAUGAGCCGGCUAAUCUGGUGCCAGCCGCCGCGGUUAUACCACGUGGCUCUAACUGACUUUUCUCGGCGUAAAGCGUGAUUAAAGCCCCCUUUCCCACUAGAGCCAAACUAAAACUAAGCCGUGACACGCCUGUUCAUCAAGAAGCCCAAAACGAAAGUUACUCUAACGCAAUCAACUUGAACUCACGACAGUUAGGAAACAAACUGGGAUUAGAUACCCCACUAUGCCUAACCGUAAACUUUUACUUACACCCAUAUCGCCCGGGAACUACGAGCAAAGCUUAAAACCCAAAGGACUUGACGGUACCCCACAUCCCCCUAGAGGAGCCUGUCCUAUAAUCGAUAACCCACGUUUAACCUCACCGUUUCUAGUUAAUCAGCCUGUAUACCUCCGUCGUCAGCUUACCACGUGAGCGCCAAUUAGUGAGCCCAAUGUUACUUCACCUGUACGUCAGGUCAAGGUGCAGCAAAUGAAAUGGAAAGAGAUGGGCUACACUUUCUACAUUAGAAGAAACGAAAAACUACCCAUGAAACUUAGUUAGAAGGCGGAUUUAGCAGUAAAAAGGAAUCAGUAUGUCUAUUUUAACCCGGCACUGGGGUGUGUACACACCGCCCGUCACCCUCUUCAAAACCAUUAAUAUAGUUUUUAACAACAAUUUUCCAUAUAGAAGAGGCAAGUCGUAACAUGGUAAGUAUACCGGAAGGUGUACUUGGACA